CUCAGGAUUUCUUUGUGAGGGUUUCCAUGGCAAUAUUGUGGGACUAAGGAGAAUGCUGUUUGUCCUUAUUAGAUGAGAGCACUGGACUUCAGCAGUUCUUGGCUUACUCCUGCAGUCUUUGGAAGACCUGAGCGCCUGAGACGCAGCUGCACGGCAUCCUGGUGCUGUGCUGAGUCAAGAUGAAUUGCUCCCCACCGCCCUUGCCCUUCCUGUUUUCUCACUCUCAAAGUAGGGGUCACAGGGAUGAACAGUGCUUUGUGGUUUGCCUGAAAUGCUUUACAAAAGACACCACCGACCACGUCUUUCCCAGUCUUCACUGUGGAGUCACCUCAGACCUUCUCAGUCCGGGGCAAGGCAGUAUGCUAAUGGCUGAGAGAAAGCCAAACAGACACAGCACAUCCAGGCCCCAGAUGGAAACAAGCUGCAGUUAUUGGUCGUCUCACUGGCUUGUUCAUCUUUUCAUGCAAGCAGUAGCAAGUUUUGCUAUAGGAGAAAUGACUGAGCACUUAAGAGCAUGAACUGUUUUUCCAGAGGACUGACUGGAGUUUGGUUUCUGACACCCAAAUCAGGUGGCCGACAACCUCUUGUAACUCUAGCUCCAAGGACCCCACCCCCACCCCCAUUUGUGGUUGCCCUGGUCAUCUGUACAUGUGGCCUAUACACAAAUACCUAAGUAAAACUAAAAUUU
rnacentral:lncRNA from 1 species